rnacentral:rRNA from 1 species
UACGGAGGAUCCGAGCGUUAUCCGGAUUUAUUGGGUUUAAAGGGUGCGUAGGCGGUUUGGUAAGUUAGAGGUGAAAUGUCGGGGCUCAACCCCGAAACUGCCUCUAAUACUGUUGGACUAGAGAAUAGUUGCGGUAGGCGGAAUGUAUGGUGUAGCGGUGAAAUGCUUAGAGAUCAUACAGAACACCGAUUGCGAAGGCAGCUUACCGAACUAUAUCUGACGUUGAGGCACGAAAGCGUGGGUAGCAAACAGG